GGCGUGGUGGCAGAGCGGUUGAAUGCACCGGUCUUGAAAACCGGCGGGCCCGAAAGGGUCUCGUGAGUUCGAAUCUCACCCACGCCG
rnacentral:tRNA from 1 species